rnacentral:misc_RNA from 1 species
AUUGAGGAAACUGCAAGACCAUUGGGAUUCAGUGUCCAGAAGAAAAAUUACAAGAUGAAGUUACAAGGCGACAGGACCGGAAGGAAAGGCCACCUUGCUGUAGCAACAGAGGUGUUUGAAGUAGCACCCUCAGUGCAUUUGGUUGAGCUCCGAAAAACUGGUGGUGAUACAUUAGAGUUUCAUAAGUUUUACAAGAACUUCUCUUCAGGAUUAAAAGAUAUCGUCUGGACAACAGAACAAACAACCGAACAACCCUCUGAAGAAAAAGGGUCUUAACAAGUGGUGGUUAUUGCAACGAGAGUUUACACGAAUAGAGAUACAUUGUAGAUUUAUCGAUAAUCCAUUGUUUCUCUAUCUGAAUUUUGAUCCAUAUACGCAGUAUAAUUGUGAGAUAUGUUGACACAAAUGCGGAUAUGUUGACACAAAGGAGGGCAAAUGUGUGUACAGUUUCAAUCACAAGAACCCCUAAGAUCAUACUAACAAGAUCUCAAACGUCUGGAGUUUCUUGUUGUAUAUUAUAUGGAUGAUCUGAUCUGCGAGGAUCAUCAUAUCCUUUUCCCAAAUUGUGUGUAUAUGUCAAUAUGUUGUGGAUAAAUUCUUUAGUUUUUUUUCAUAUGUCCUUAGAUGUUCCUAAGUUUGUGUAAACAAAUAAA